GACAGAGGGUGCAAACGUUGUUCGGAAUUACUGGGCGUAAAGCGUGUGUAGGUGGCUGCGAAAGUCGGGUGUGAAAGCCCUGGGCUCAACUCAGGAAGUGCACCCGAUACUGCGUAGCUCGAGUACCGGAGAGGUUGGUAGAAUUCUCGGUGUAGAGGUGAAAUUCGUAGAUAUCGAGAGGAAUACCUGUGGCGAAGGCGGCCAACUGGACGAGUACUGACACUGAGACACGAAAGCGUGGGGAGCAAACAGG
rnacentral:rRNA from 1 species